AUGUUGCAUCAAUGACAGGUGGUCACCUUCAAGAUCGUCCCCGGCAGUGAUGCACGGCCCGGCAUAGUUUCAUUUUCUACCGAUAACAUAGAAGCCGCUCUGCAAAGGUCCCCUGGUGCAGGCCUGAGCACUGCAGUUGUGUGCGUCGCUGGAGGGUUGCGGGGAACAGGUUCAAGCGGUAGUUUUCCCUUUGAUCACUUUAUAAGAUGUCUGGAGGAACGCACAAAUUCGUCGAGUAUUUCUGCUUAUCAUCCACCGAAAACAGUCCCUCCUGAGGCUAGACAUGCGUGCCUGCUGCUUGUCUGCAGCAAAGUGUUCGAGAUAAAGACCUCGGAAAGCAGUCAUUGUGGUGUUGUACUGAUGGACAUCGAAUACAACGGCGACCUGAGACCCAUUACGGUGAAGCUUCCUCCAGAGUGGACCCCUACAGUUGUCGUUCACAACGCAUUCGAUCCUCAAAGCAGCGAGGGAUGGCGUCAAUUGAGAUUAAUGCCUGCACCACACAACGAACCGAUCGUUCUCAUUCACAAUUGGGGUUCCCCUGACUGGCUGCCCUAUGGAUCACAAUCUGAAGGCGUUACAUUUCCUUUCUUCGCUUCACCUUGUUCUACACCGGAAAUAAAGUCCAACGAGCCAAAGAACCUGCGCACCUUUCUGCUGCCUCAUC